CAUAGUGCCUCACGCUUUUCUGUACCCUAAGGCGGUACAGGAAUAAGAGCUGGGCAAGACCGGUGCCAGCCGCCGCGGUAAUACCGGCAGCUCGAGUGAUGACCGAUUUUAUUGGGCCUAAAGCGUUCGUAGCCGGCCGGGCAAGUUCGUCGGGAAAUCUACCAGCUCAACUGGUAGGCGUCCGGCGAAAACUGCACGGCUUGGGACAGGGAGACUCGACGGGUACGUCCGGGGUAGGAGUGAAAUCCUGUAAUCCUGGACGGACCACCGAUGGCGAAAGCACGUCGAGAGAACUGAUCCGACGGUCAGGAACGAAAGCUGGGGUCUCGAACCGGAUUAGAUACCCGGGUAGUCCCAGCUGUAAACGAUGUUCGCUAGGUGCGACGCAGACUACGCGUCUGUGUUGUGCCGUAGGGAAGCCGAGAAGCGAACCGCCUGGGAAGUACGUCCGCAAGGAUGAAACUUAAAGGAAUUGGCGGGGGAG
rnacentral:rRNA from 1 species